rnacentral:misc_RNA from 1 species
AACGCGAAUGGCACUGUUAUGUAAGUAACAGUAUGUCUGUUUGAGAAUCGCAAAACAAGAUCAACUCUAGUUGAGAGUUGGGAUUGGCCUCAUGUAAUUCAUUUGGCUUUAAUAUAUCGAGUUGAUGAGCUUCCCAGUGCGGCUCAAUGUGUGCUAGCGAGACAGUCGUCCCGAUCUCACAUUUAAUGUCGCAUUGCAGAGUUCUGAGCACAGCUCGCUAAAUAACCUUAUCAAAUACGAUCUCAAAUCAGGCAAGAUUACCCGCUGAACUUAA